GAGAACAGCGUGGUUUAACAUCAAAGUGUUCUCUGGCCAGUGUUACACAGAUAUGGAUGUGUACGUAUCCACUUGCUAUCUGAGACAGUCCUGUGAAAAGUUAACCUGCACGUCAGACAGCAUCCCACAAAACUUCACAACACAUAAUUAUACGUGGUACAAGAACUGUAACACAGAGUUACCCACUGACUUUGGUGAUGGAUACCUGACGAGUGCUUCUGAGAGUGACAGUGGUUACUAUACCUGCACUUCAUACUACACAUACAACUCUAGCCUCCAUGAUGGACAGGUGUUUACCUUGUCCAGAACCAUGGAGAGGACAGUUAAAAAAGGAAGUUCCCAGGUUAUGCCAAAGAUCAUCAAACCUCAGGAUGGGGAGGUUAUUGAAGUAGAUAUGGG